UAUGUCCUAGAAGAAUUUUCAGUCUUGAGCAAAACAGAACAGUUUGUCACCCUCCCUCUAGAGGCUCUCUCGUCUCCAUUGUCUCAGAGGGUUACUCACGGCACAGUCUGUCCUGGAGUGGACCCCCUGGGUAGCUGUCUCAGCUCUGUCUUGUCAAGCCCAGGAGGACUGGUCAAACCAGGCCUUCUCAGUACCACCCACUGUCUCCCAACCAGGUAAUUAUUAACAAACAGGCCACGGGCGCAGCACUGCCUAGACAAGGAAAACUCACCAGAAGUUACUUCACCCCCUCCCAAGAAGACACCCCACUUCCCACCUGGGGAACCCCAAGAGGGUUCACUUCUUCAUGUUUGUACAGUGCAUGGAGGUUCGCCUGGUGCUUGGUGCUCCCUGAGGGCCCGGGGAACCCCUUGGAAGGUCUGGUCUCCACCCGGCCCCUCACUGGCUGUGUGAAGUUGAGCUCAUUUACUCCCUCUCUGAGCUUCAGUCAUCCACCUCCCGCCUACAACAUGAGGGGCUGGAUCAUACGGGGCAGCAAGCUCCAGCGCCUUCAUAGACCAGCUAAGGAAGACUCCAUGGUGCCACGGUGGGGAAUGGUGGGGAUGUGGGGAGACAGCCAGCUCUCUACAGGCCAGGCAAGACCCACUUGUGGGCGGGGCCUUGCAGCAGGGCCUCCAGUUUGCAAUCCUGGACUCUGUGUUUUCUGAGGAUAGAGUCCACUGAGAUCUCAUAGGUCAUACCAUAAGGACAGUACAUCCCAGGGCAAGGGUGGCAUGGGGUGGGACCAGGAACCUCUUUUGGCCAGGAAUUCAACUUGCAUUUUUCUUCUUCAGCCAUGGAAUUGUUCUCUCCCCAGUAAUCAAACCUCUGCACCUUUGCACCUUUAUACUCUCCUGGGGCAGCCAUUUCUCACACCAUGUGGGGAAGGACUGCAGGGAGCAAAGUGGCCCUGGGUGUCCUGACUGAGAUGACCAUGACCAUUCAGGCAUCCUCUAGCAGACUUUCUGGGUGUGUUUCCACCUUGCUGGGCCUUAAGGAAAUACCACUGGGCCAGGUGGGGCAGCUGCUGUGACACCACUGAUGUCUCCGGCAGGAAGCCAGUUUUUCCAGCAUCCCAGAAGCUGCCUGAACUGUGCUGUAGGCAUGAAUCGCACUCCCUGACACUCUCCUCUGCUCCACUGCAUCCUAAAUCAUAGCCCAGCCCUUUCUCAAUGGCUGUCUUGGUCUCCCAUUCCAGCACAGGCUCCACUUAUGCUGCCCUCCUGCUAACCGCUCCCAAACCCCUUCCCAUUCCCUGGAUUCCAAAUGGAGCCAGGAAUUUAAUCUGGCUUAAAAAGGCUGUCCUUGUUUUGAAUUUGAUGGGCAAUGUAAUAAUAAUAGUCAUCAUGAAAAAUGUGGGAAAAUAAAAAAAUCUGGAGAAGAAAAUAAAAUCAUUUGCAAACCUGGUGUUCAGCUUAUGACUAGA